rnacentral:rRNA from 1 species
UACGUAGGGUGCAAGCGUUGUCCGGAAUUAUUGGGCGUAAAGAGCUCGUAGGCGGUUUGCUGCGUCGGCUGUGAAAUCCCGAGGCUCAACCUCGGGUCUGCAGUCGAUACGAGCAAACUAGAGUGUUGCAGGGGAGACUGGAAUUCCUGGUGUAGCGGUGAAAUGCGCAGAUAUCAGGAGGAACACCAGUGGCGAAGGCGACUACCUGGCCUGUUCUUGACGCUGAGGCGCGAAAGCUAGGGGAGCAAACGGG